UGCGCAUGAGUAACGGGAUGCGCGCAGUCUUAUCAGCCAUUGCGCGGAAUGCUUAAUCGUAGUUUCGUGCCGGUUGUUGAUCGUGUUAGACGCGUUUCGUGUCUUGUUCUUAAAUUUUAUUCAAUAAGUGUUUUAUUUUCGUUUAUCGGUCACCUGUAUUUACGAGUACUUGUGUUUGGCGUGUUUAGUGUUGUUAAUGAUUAAUCGGGUGUCGAAUAUUAAAAAUCUGUGCGUGUAUAAAUCGCCGUCGGCUCUUGGCGUCGUUGCAUAUUUGUUCUACGGGCGACCGCCAUAUUGUCCUUGUGAAUUUUCCCAAGGAAUUGCGUGGAAAUCAAGAAAGAAUUUUCUUGGUGAAUUCUACGCGAAAUAUAUACCCAAGGAUCGUUUUCUAAUCGACGGCAUCAUAAUCGUAUUCAGUAACGUUGCAGCUGUAGCGGCCAUCAUCUCCAUCAAAAAGCAUUUGGAAAUUUUGCGUGAAAUAUACGCCCGAAGAUCGUUUUCUUAUCGCUACCAGCUGUGAUGGUUGCCACUUUUAAGAUGUCGCCAUUCACAUUGGAAAAAGUACAUGAAGCGGAAUAUAUACUCGAGGAUUGUUUGCCCUUCGAUCAGAUCGCACAUCAUCCAACUUACUACUUCUUCAAUGGCAGAGAAGUCUACCAGCGGGUGGAGACCUUGGAGGAGAGCAGCUGCCCUACGACGGAUAUCUCGGCCCGCCAAGAGGCGUUACCGACAUCAUUUUUUGCGCUCAUUAUUUAAAAUCGAACAGAUGACAGACACAUUAUUUUUUAAACCAGUGCAAAUAAUGCGCACAGGGAAAGACACAAAAAAAACUUCCCGACUUUUAAACCACGAACGCAUUCUUUAAGUUCACUUAUAAUUAGAAUUGUAUAUAUUUAGGGACCUUUACCAAUUAAUUUGAUGAAUGCUAGUGGAAUAACCUGCAGUGUAAACUCUUUAUAACGAUGAUCAAAAGUCGUGCAAUUAGUUUUUACUUCAUUUAGUUCAUUAGUUCAUAAAGACGAGUUGUAAAGUUAUUAAGAGUUUAUAUUGUAAUGCAAAUUUAGUCGCCUUACGACUUGAACUGAAAACUGGCAGUGUUGUCUCUGUAUCGCUAUUACUUGGAAUCAUGUAAUUUAUUGACUGCGCUUUAUUAUUUGUUAGAAGUAAUGCGUAAUGGAUAGUAUUGGGUAAUUGUCGCACUGCUGUCUAGGUUUUGAUCGCGAGGGGGGCGUUUUAAAAUUUCACUUGCUCGUGAGGAAAGCGUCUUUGAAAUAAUCACCGCUACAUGUGCUACAUGUGCUACAUGUUGCUACAUGUGUAAAUUCGAAAAUAGGGUGGUUCAGUGGGAUUUUCACUUGAACUGUGAAAUUGUUUUAGUAUUUUUGGUAUAGCUCGCGAAUGGGGCGGGACAGAAUUUUCAGCGCGGUCUCUAGAGAUGACGAAUAGAUUCUUCGCGUUAUUAUAUUAGUUUGUUGCUGAAGUUGCAUCUGCAACAUAUGUAAAUUUAAAAAUUGAGGGGUUCAGUUACAUUUUUACCCAAAGGGUAAAAUAGUUCGUUUUUCGGUAUAGCUCGCGAAGGGGCGGUUUAGAAUUUUUAGCGCGGGCUCUAGAGACAUCGAAUUAAAUUGUCCGCGGGGUUGCUAAAUUCUAAAAUAAGGUGGUUCAAUAGAAUUUAAACCUGAAGGGUGAAAUUAUUGGCUUUUUUUUUGGUGUAGUUCGCGAAGCUUAGAAUUCUCAGCGCGGUCUCUAGAAAAGUCUAAUUAGAUUCUCGGCGCGGUUGUCAUUGUUUGUUAUAAAAACUUCGGCAGCAGUGCGUACAGUGGUAAAUUGUGUAUUAGCGUGUCCUCCUGUCUUCCGCAUUUCCUAUCUUUUGUGCCUUUGUGUUGUCCAAGUAGAACUUGAAAUCUUGUUUAAUUGUGUAUAUGACUUGUGUAUGUUGUUUUUCCUAUGUACUAAUGUGUAGUUAUAUUUGUUGUCAUGUAUGUUUUGUAUUAUUUUGUUCUUGUAAGUGUAUAGAGUAGCUGCAUAGUACAGUAGUUUGUGUUUUAAUGUUUGCUUGCACCUUGUAUUGUGUGUUUUAAUGUCUUUUGUUGUUGUGUGUAAAUUAAUAAAUGUCUAUUGUGUAGCAUCUAGAAGUAGUGUUAGUUUGUGUAUAAAUCGUAAUGUCCGUGUCUCGUAAAUGUGAAAUGUAAACAUGUUAUCUGUUUAGAGUAGUCGUAUGACUUGCAGUUGCUUUGUGUUUAGCUGUGCCAUAGUUGUAACUUGUUGAUAUAUUUAUUGUGUUAUCUCUGCAGGUAUAGGAACCAGUAUUGCAAUAGCAAUACUAGUAACACUGUGUUGCCCAUGCAACACAGGUAGUAUGGUAUUGCUAUGGCAGUACAAGUAACAUGUCUUGCUGUUGCAAUGCAGUAUGUAUAGGUAUCAAUAAAGAAGUCUUCUAAUA